rnacentral:rRNA from 1 species
GAUGAACGCUGGCGGCGUGCCUAAUACAUGCAAGUCGAGCGAACAGAUGAGGAGCUUGCUCCUCUGACGUUAGCGGCGGACGGGUGAGUAACACGUGGAUAACCUACCUAUAAGACUGGGAUAACUUCGGGAAACCGGAGCUAAUACCGGAUAAUAUAUUGAACCGCAUGGUUCAAUAGUGAAAGACGAUUUUGCUGUCACUUAUAGAUGGAUCCGCGCCGCAUUAGCUAGUUGGUAAGGUAACGGCUUACCAAGGCAACGAUGGGUAGCCGACCUGAGAGGGUGGUCGGCCACACUGGAACUGAGACACGGUCCAGACUCCUACGGGAGGCAGCAGUAGGGAAUCUUCCGCAAUGGGCGAAAGCCUGACGGAGCAACGCCGCGUGAGUGAUGAAGGUCUUCGGAUCGUAAAACUCUGUUAUUAGGGAAGAACAAAUGUGUAAGUAACUAUGCACGUCUUGACGGUACCUAAUCAGAAAGCCACGGCUAACUACGUG